GCAUAUCAAAAAAGCGGAGGAAAAGAAACUAACAAGGAUUCCCCUAGUAACUGCGAGUGAAGCGGGAAAAGCUCAAAUUUAAAAUCUGGUGGUCUUUGGCCAUCCGAGUUGUAAUCUAGAGAAGUGUUAUCCGCGCUGGACCGUGUACAAGUCCCCUGGAAUGGGGCGUCAUAGAGGGUGAGAAUCCCGUCUUUGACACGGACUACCAGGGCUUUGUGAUGCACUCUCAAAGAGUCGAGUUGUUUGGGAAUGCAGCUCAAAAUGGGUGGUAAAUUCCAUCUAAAGCUAAAUAUUGGCGAGAGACCGAUAGCGAACAAGUACCGUGAGGGAAAGAUGAAAAGAACUUUGGAAAGAGAGUUAAACAGUACGUGAAAUUGUUGAAAGGGAAACGCUUGAAGUCAGUCGCGUCUGCCAGGGAUCAACCUUACUUUUGUGAGGCGUACUUCCUGGUUGAUGGGUCAGCAUCAGUUUUGGUCGCUGGAUAAAGGUCAGAGAAAUGUGGCACCCUCGGGUGUGUUAUAGUCUUUGAUCAGAUACAGUGGCUGGGACUGAGGAACUCAGCGCCGCAAGGCUGUCUUAGGAUGCUGGCAAAAUGGCUUUAAUCGACCCGUCUUGAAACACGGACAAAAGGAGUCA
rnacentral:rRNA from 1 species